CCCUUAGACGUUCUGGGCCGCACGCGCGCUACACUGACCAGUGCAACAAGCAUCCGUCCUUGGCCGACAGGCCCGGGCAAUCUUUGAACGCUGGUCGUGAUGGGGAUAGACUUUUGCAAUUUUUGGUCUUCAACGAGGAAUUCCUAGUAAACGCAAGUCAUCAACUUGCAUUGAUUACGUCCCUGCCCUUUGUACACACCGCCCGUCGCACCUAACGAUUGAAUGGUCCGGUGAAGCCUCCGGAUUGGCGCGCACCUCGGUGCCGCCGAGAAGUUGGCUAAACCUUACCAUUUAGAGGAAGGUGAAGUCGUAACA
rnacentral:rRNA from 1 species